AAGCCAAGUUAGAAUCCUCCAAGAAAUAGAAUUGCUCUUAGCCCUGAGUGUGAAAUUUUUGCAGAAGUCCCUGAAUUGCAGAUGUUCCCUCCAAGAGGGAAGGAGGGAGAGUGCGCAAUCUCCCUGGUCUGAAGUGAGAACGGCCUAUGCUCUCACUCUUUGUCCCCCUCCCCAGGGCAAUCCAGUUACCCACUGGGAGUGAGCUACCCCCUAACCCCGCAUGACCCUGUUCCCCGGGAGGGGCAGCCUGGGGAGUGACAGGCAUGACCUCGAUGGUGGGCCACGGGCCUCCUCAGGCUGUACAGGAGGCAUGGCUGGGGAGACCUGGGGAAACUUAGAACCAUGGCAGAGGGUGAAGAGGAAGCAAGCACCUUCUUCACAUGGUGGAGUGGGAGAGAAAGAGUGAAAGGGGAAGUGCUACAUACUUUUAAACAACCAGAUCUCAUGAGAACUCACUCACUAUCAUGAGAACAGCAAGGGGGAAGUCCGCCUCCAUGAUCUAAUCACCUCCCACCAGGUCCCUCACAACCAGAUUUCCCCAGGCCCUAAAGCUAUUUCAGUGGAACCUGCAGCCACCCGUCCUCCCAUCGCUGCUCGAGGUCCCGCGUUACCUACGCCUCAUUGUUUCUAGAAGUUGCAUUUCUGUAUGUUGCUCAGAAUUGGUUUGCAUGCCGGACCCUUGCUUUCCUGUUUUUGCCUCCUCCCACCCUGGGCCACCCCAUCCCAUCCUCGUGAUCGUUGGGACGCCCCCUCGCCUGCCCAGCAAGGACACUUGAUGGAGAGGCUGCCGGGUUAUGGCUUCCUUCCUCAGCUGGCUCGCAGGCCCGUGGCCCCACAGAUGUUCUCCCUGGGUUUGUUUUGAUAGCCCGUUUUAAAAACAGUUCAUAUCCACCAACUGUUCAGAUAAUAGUAUUCCAAGUGGCAAGCAACUGUGAUUAUUUUUGUCGCUGUUUACCCUGACAAGCACAGCUCAGCUGGAAAAUAUGGGGCCGGGGGGAAUUCCCCUUCCUUGCUCUUCUAAUUGUUGCCCAUAUUUGCCAUAAGGAAGUUGCAUUUUUGACUUUCUCUCACAUUGAGCCCCAUGUUCCCUGGGAAGGAGAGAAGAAGGGGAGAGAAAUCAGAUGGAGAAAAUGCAGUAUGGGGCCUAUUGGAAUCGAUAACCCUCCUUCCAAGUCAGACUGUUUCACUAUCAACACUAAGAAGAGUUUUUGUGCACAAGUGUGUGGUGACAUAAAGAAAGCCUUGCUUGGGGUAGAGCUGGUACUUUGAACUGGCUCUCUCUCCAACAUCUCAGACAUCCCAGGCCUAAAAUCGAACUUCUCGUUUGCCUAUCCAGUUGCAGAAACACCUCUGGUCUCCCGUAAAAGUGCAAAAGACCCCCACUCCUUCCCCAGGUUCCCAGAACAGGCCGGCUGGUCCCUCUGACUGUUCCACUCCUCUGACCUCCAAAGUCAGUUAUUUGUCAAGCAUGGCUGAUUUUCCCGGGACUUUAAAAAAUUCUCUUGCACCUAUCCCUUCUUUUCCAGCCACACCACCUGCCCCCUCGACAGUUGGCCCAUUCCCUGUCCCCUUUACUGCAGCGGUAAUUUCAACCACAUCCUGGCCUUCCAUCCCUCUCCUCCCAUUUCACCCUCAUACCAUGGCUAGGCCCAGCUUCCGAAAGCUUGACCCUGUUGUCACUUACCUGCUCAAAAAUGCUUAGCAACUUCCCACUGUGUGCAGCCUUUGUCUGGCUUUCCAGGCCCUCCAUGCCCUGGUCCCUGCCUGAUCUCUCUGCUUCCCCAUUCGGAUCCCUCCCAUGGUGUGCCCAAGCUCAGGAUUUCUUGAACCCACCUGUGCUUUCCAGCAGGGCUGCCACGUGGCUGAUUCCCUGGCUGCCCUUCCCUUCGCUAUUACCUGAAUGUGCUUCCUAGAGGUGAAUAUGGUUCAGCCUGUAUGACCAAAUGGCCCCCAGGCCUUUGAACAUGCUGCUUCCUCAUUCUGAAGUGCCCUCCUCUCCCAGCUCCACCUGUCAAAAUCACACUAUUCUUCAAAUGCCACUUCUUCCAUGAAGCCAUUGAUGGUGAUUCUUGCUGGAAAGGGCGGCUCUUGAUCAUGAAAAUCUGAAAGACAUUAUAUUGGAAGUGUUUAUAAUUUUCUUUGUAUUUAGAUGUCAGAUUUUCUUACAUAAAACCCAAACCUCCUUAAGAAUAAAGGCUGUGAAUUACUUUCCUGCAUA